CAGUCCGUGGGGUCGCAAAGAGUCAGACACGACUAAAGUGACUGAGUGCACACACAGGAGCCAGAAUCACCCUGGCUAAACUGCUCCUGGUUUCCUGUCCUGCAGAAGCGAAUCCCUCUGUGCAGCAUUUGGGAGUAGACAGCAGCAGGGGAGUGGUGGAAACAGGGAGAACAAUUAGGGAGCUACUACAGUGGGCAGGAGAUCCAGCAGCUUCAGGAUCUAUUUCUGAGGCAGAGCCAACCUUUGCCCAGAGAGGCCUGCCAGCCCAGAGCAAGCACGUGAAGUGCACCUUGGCCGUGUGCUGCCCCAGUCUCGCCCCAGCCUCACCCGGGCUAAUGAGUCAUCCGGAUGAAAGUGCCUACGCACCUGGACUCCCAGGAAGGACAGCACGCACCCCGGGAACCUCCCUCCUUCCCUCCUCAGGCAGCUCUCCCAGGACCGAGGGGCCACCUCUCAGGUUCUGCUGGCAUCUGGCCCACAUCUGUGGACCAGGAGUGGUCUCAGGUAGAAAUUCUUGGUAGUGAAGCUCCCCUGCGGGAAACACAUCCUCCUCUCGGCCCCUACUUUUCAGCCAACACCUCACACUCUUUGUGUCGGACCUGAUUCCCCUACUUUUGACCUACUUCCUCAGGCUGAAAGAGACAUGAAAAUAGACGCGAGGUGUCACAUGGUAGGGAAAAAAGUUUGCGGUACACCCAGUUUUUCGGGCAAGUCGAUAGCCAGGAAAAUGAAUAGCAAAUUCAUACAUCAAGAUUUUGAUCUUAGAGUGACUUAGAGUGACUCUGUUCUUUAUCUCAUGUGAAAAAGGUUUUAUGCUUUUUUUUUUUUAAGGCAUUGGUUCCCAUCAAUAUAUGGGAAAAUAUUUUGGUUGCCCUAGAUAUGUCUAGUUUCGACACCAUUUGUAUUUUAGGGCAAGUGCCCAGAUCAGAUAUGAGUUCUUAUUGGAUAAUCAUACUUCACACCAGAAUCUUGGAGGCAUUGUUCUUCCUUGUUAAGGUUCUCACUAGAGGGCCAUUUUCUGCAAUCAACCCACUCGACAAACACUGGUGGAGCUCAGGUGAGGUGGAGGCCAUGGGGACAAAAGUAGUAAGCCGCGUGUGCUCCCAAACCAGCACGCAUGGACUUAUAUAAGUAGUGAUGGUAACUCAUUACAACACAGUCUCAGCACACCCCGUCAGCCUGCCCUGUCAGGAAGAAUCUUCUAAGUGACAUUCUCACCUGAUUUUGCCCUCUGUGGAGCCAUAAUCUGACCUGCCCUGGGAACAGCAAGUGGGGUUACUUCUGCAGGUACCUAAUAGAUAUAUGUUGGAUGAGACCAGGUCUGCGUGAAUGUAACUAAAGCCAACAGAAAGAGUUAAUGAGAAUAAA